rnacentral:rRNA from 1 species
AUUGAACGCUAGCGGGAUGCCUUACACAUGCAAGUCGAACGAGUGGCGGACGGGUUAGUAAUGUACGGGCACGUUCCCGGUGGAGGGGGAUACCUACUCGAAACGGUAGCUACUACCGCCUAACAUUGGCGCUGCCGACAUAGGAUUAGCUAGUUGGUGGGGUAAAGGCACACCAAGGGCACGAUCCGUAGCUGGUUUGAGAGGAGGACCAGCCACACUGGAACUGAGCCACGGCCCAGACUCCUACGGGAGGCAGCAGUGGGGAAUUGUGGACAAUGGGGGAAACCCUGAUACAGCCAUCCCGCGUGUAUGAGAAGGCCUUCGGGUUGUAAAGUACUUUUGGCAGGGAAGCGGUAUAUGCAGAAGAAGCACCGGCUAACUACGUGCCAGCAGCCGCGGUAAUAC